UACGUAGGGGGCUAGCGUUGUUCGGAUUUACUGGGCGUAAAGCGCACGUAGGCGGAUCUUUAAGUCAGAGGUGAAAUCCCAAGGCUCAACCUUGGAACUGCCUUUGAUACUGGGGAUCUCGAGUUCGGGAGAGGUGAGUGGAACUGCGAGUGUAGAGGUGAAAUUCGUAGAUAUUCGCAAGAACACCAGUGGCGAAGGCGGCUCACUGGCCCGAUACUGACGCUGAGGUGCGAAAGCGUGGGGAGCAAACAGG
rnacentral:rRNA from 1 species